rnacentral:tRNA from 1 species
GAAGGUAUAGCUCAGUGGUAGAGCACUUGCUUAGCAUGCAUGAGUUCUUGGGUUCAAUCCCCAGUACCUCCA